rnacentral:lncRNA from 1 species
CCACCGUCGAUCAGACCUGUAAGUGUUCGACUUACGUAUUUUGGACUCCUCUUUGAUUUUUUUUUUUUUUGAAAUUACACUUUUGUUCCUGUAGUGCGGCGUCGGAUGUCGACCCCGGCCAGGCUGCCAGCCAGGGGACGGGCGAGCCAGUCCGCGCUGCUGAAGAUACGGCCCCCCAGACCACAGAGCAGCCUACCGCUGCAGUCGCGCUUGGGAGCACGGAGGGGCUCCCGACCGCGGCGCCGACUACAACAGGCAGCCCGACCAGGGCUGAAGAGGUUCCCCAGCCGGCGUCACAGAAGAGGAGGGAAGAUCCCCGACCGCGCCUCCUGCCGGGGGGAGUGAAGUCUCCACGCCACCCCGAGCAGGGAACUCUUCGACUGCAGGCUCCCCAGGUCUGGUCCGAGGAUCAGUACUACCUGGGACCACCACUGGGGGUGACGCAGCGCAGGAGGAAACCCGGGCGGCCUCCGAUGACGAGGUGGAAGAGAUCGAGGGUCGUCCCCGUGAUGGCCGCCAACACGUGUAUGUGUGGCGCCAACGCGGGGAUCACUUUAUCGGGCAUGAGGAGCUCGCUGAGACAG